rnacentral:sRNA from 2 species
AACCCAUCCGAACCCACUCACGUUCGGCAGGAGCGGGGGACCCAGGUAAGUCGCCGAUCCGGAAACGGACCGGCUCGGGGUGAAGUCGCAGUCACCUGCGACCGGGCAUCUCCAGCCCGAACCCGACAGCUCACCUCGUAGGCGACGGAGAGGAAUU